rnacentral:lncRNA from 1 species
UUUUUUGACCACCUUACUAGUGGUACUACUAAUAGUGCUGCUUCCCUCCUUGCUACAAUUUAAUUUCCGGAUAGGGUAGUAUAAAAGUAUUCUUCUUUAUAAUAUAACUCAAAUCACCUAAACGUGUUUUUGACCACCCUACUAGUGGUACUACUAAUAGUGCUGCUUUCCUCCUUGCUACAAUUCAAUUUCCGGAUAGGGCAGUAUGAAAAUAUUCUUCUUCAUAGUAUAACUCAAACCACUUAAACGUGGUUUUGUCCACCCUACUAGUGGUUCUCCUCUCUCUCCCUACUAACGUGUUGCAGUAAGAAGAGAUUACACUUACAAAAAUAAGAAAUGGCUGACUCUUCCUCUCCUAUAUAGGGUAGUCGUUGGGGGAUACACUUAUAUAGUAUAAUUAAUUUAGUUGUUACAAGGGGGGGUAUUGACUAAGCCAAAUUGUAUUUACCACAGAGCUAGUGUCUCCUCUUACAUAGGGUAGUCUUUGUGAUAAUCAAUUAUAUAGUGUACUAGUUACUGUAAGAUGUGUUACAGUCUAGCCUAAUUACCUUUAUGAGAUAUUCUGACCAUAGUGCAAAUGUUUUCACUGCGCAUUUUAUAAAUAUGCCAUAAAGCAAGUAACUCGUCUUCUCCAACUUGGGGUAAGCAUUAAGGGUAUCAUAUGUAUAAUAUACUAGUUACCGUAAACGGGUUAUUAACUCGUCUAAUUGCCUUUAUGAGAUAUUGUUACCAUAGUGCAAAUGGUUUGUGUUUAUAUUAUGUAAGUGUGGUGAAUAUUUGUAUUAUACAUCAAUUAUUCAUGUGUGAAUCUUCAGGUAAUAAAACAAUUGUGUUAUAUUCAAGUAGAAAUACUAUUGAGACAAUAACGACAAGUAGUCAAACAAAAUCUUCAAUAUGUAUCAUUCUCUGAUGACUUAAUGGCACUUAAUCCAUCGAUGAAGACACAAUCUACACAAGAUCCAACAGCAAUACUGACGCAACAGUGGACAGAGCUACAUCAAUUAACAAACAUUAUUACAACCUUCAUGGAACCACAUACAAUAAAAUAAUUUCCAACAACAGGAAUUAAUUGGAUCCCAAGCUAUGCAAUUUCAUAUGUUAUAUUAUAUAUGUGUCAUAAUGUACAUUUUAUAUUGUCUAUGCCAUUUCUUAUCAUUUGAUAAUUUUAAACAACUUCAUUGGAUUGUAUAUUAAUAUAAAAUUGAUACAAAUAAACGAGGGGGGAUGAAAUCGAACAAAAUUCAAUUGCUAUUAAUCAAAUUAAAAAUAUUUUUUAUUUUAUUUAGUAAAUUGUAAACUAUUCAUUUUCUUAUAACCUUACCCUCUAUAAAUAAAAUAAAUUUGAGAAUAUUUUCUCUAUGGGUAUGAAA